rnacentral:rRNA from 1 species
AGAUGUGUCCAUACCUGUUAUCAACGUCCAAUCUUGGAAACUAAGCAAGGUUAGGCCUGCUUAGUACUUGGAUGGAAGCCCACUAGGAACACCAGGUGUCACAGUGG